AUCUGCUUUCAGUUCAGCAGCUCACACUCGGGCUGGCUGCAAGAAACGUGUGCUCUGCCGCCAGAGACACCGCAGUUGCUACAGCAACUGCAGAGCGCGGAGACACCCUCCCUCUGUCCCCCUCCACUCCCCCAAAAUAAGGCAGAGCAGGGAAGGUGAUGGUGGAGAGGCAAAGGAACUGGAAGGGACGACCCUCGGCAGCCACGGCUGCUCCUCGCUCGGCUCCCACCCCGCCACGGCCGGGGCUCGGACACCGCUGUGUUCCCAUCGCUCCUGACAAGCACUUUGUUUCCAGAAAGAACAUCUUGGAUUAUGUUGCUGCAAAUGAGAGUUUUCAAUCAUGGUAUCGGAUGAGCUGCAGCUCGUGGCUGUUGAAGCUCAGCAGUGCUAAAACGUGACGUGGGCUCGCAGAGGACACGUGCAGCCCGUGGGGUGAACAGCAACCUGAACAGCUCUUCCAGCAGCUGGGGCUCCGUGUCCUUCUAGUAAUAAAUUCCUCCUGGACAGUGUUUCA
rnacentral:lncRNA from 1 species